UUUCAACAUACCGCUCUCCUCACUACCCGCUCUCUCUACUACCGCUUCACUCACUCCCGCUCUCCUACACUACCCGCUCUCUCUACUACCUGCUUUCAACACUACCCGCUCUCCUCACUACCCGCUCUCCUCACUACCCGCUCUCCUCACUGCCCGCUCUCCUCACUACCCGCUCUCCACACUACCCGCUCCUCACUACCCGCUUCUUCACUACCCACUCUUACUACCCCU
rnacentral:lncRNA from 1 species